rnacentral:rRNA from 1 species
AUGGACUGCAACAAAGAGGAAGCUAUUAGAGCAAAAGCUCUGGCUGAAAGAAAAUUGCUGGAGAAGGAUUUUGUUGGUGCAAAAAAAUUGAUCAUCAAAGCACAACAACUUUUCUCAGAGAUUGACAAUAUUUCACAAAUGUUAACUGUCUGUGACGUUCAUUGUGCUGCCGGAACGAAGGUUAAUGGAGAGCUUGACUGGUAUGGGAUACUUCAGGUACCUGCUUUCACGAAUGAUGACACACUAAUAAAGAAGCAAUACCGUAAGCUUGCGCUUUUGCUGCAUCCCGACAAGAACAAGUUUGCAGGUGCAGAGUCAGCAUUUAAAUUAGUGGGAGAAGCAAACAUGACGCUUACAGACAGCUCAAAACGUUCUGCCUAUGACAUGAAAAGGAGAGUCUCAGUCAGAGUUGGUGCAGCAAGACCAUCCCCUUAUCAGCAGUCAAGGAGAGCUGCUCCUGUUAGACCUGUGAAUCUUCAUCAGCCCUCAAAUUCUGCAGGGACACAACAAACAUUCUGGACCAUGUGUUCAAGUUGUGGCAUGAGAUAUCAGUACUACACUGCAAUGUUGAAGAAAGCUAUCCGUUGUCAGAGUUGUUUGAAGCCUUUUAUUGCACAUGAUAUAAAUGAGCAAGCUGUUCCUUCUGGGGCAGAUCGACAGUAUGCUGGGGUAAAAAAUGCAGGGGCACCACAGAAUUUUGCAGGCCGGCAGACAAAUGCCCCAGGUCAACAGGCUUGGAAUAAUGCCACUCCAGGGGUUCAUGCUAAUUAUGGAUCUCAUAAGGCAGCUGCAAAUUCAAACAAAAAGAAGGGGGAAGAUGGUAAUAGCGCUAGUGCUGCAGGUGUACCAAAUGAGAAAGCAAAAUUUGCUCGGACUUCAAAAGGUUCAUCAGCUGCAGGAUUGAAAAGGGGCAGGAGAGCCGUGUCUGAAUCUAGUGAUUCAGAGACCACCACUGAUAGUGAAGAAGAGAUCACUGUAGAUGGUGCUGCUGCAAAUAAUGCAAAGCCGAGUCAACACAGCCGCAGGUCAAGUAGGCAGAAGCAAGAAGUUAAGUAUAAGGAAGAGAGUGAAGAUGAGGAUAUUGGUGAUGAUGGUAAUGAUGACGACGAUAAUAAUGUCAGUUCUUCCAAUUUCAAAAGGUUAAGGAAAGGUGGUGUGUUGCAUGGUGAUGAUCAAAGCAGCACACCAAAGUUUGAUGAAGAUAAUACUGGGCAUAAUGGUCACACAAAUGGUCUUAAUCACGAGAAAGAAGAAACAUCCAAUUCUGUCAGCAGCAAUGGUCUAGACCCAAACCUUGAUGAUGCUUCAGAUGAGGAAAAAUUUAGCUGCGCAGAUCCUGAAUUUUUUAACUUCGACGAACUUCGAGAUGUAAGUCAGUUUAGACCCAACCAGAUCUGGGCUGUCUAUGAUAGUCAUGGCUGCAUGCCAAGAUUUUAUGCUCGAAUUACAAAGGUAAAAAUGGCCCCAAAGUUUAUAGUACACUUUGUUUGGCUGGAAUUGGAUCCCACAAAUGAAGCAGAGCUGGCAUGGUCACGUGCAGAACUGCCUGUUGCUUGUGGACAUUUUAAGCAUGGAACAUCAGACACAGCUAAAGAAGCUAAUAUGUUCUCCCAAACUAUUUCCUGUGCGAAAAGCAAGACAAAAAACUCGUAUGAGAUAUAUCCUAGGAAAGAUGAAGUUUGGGCCCUGCACAAGGGAUGGGACAUCAGCUGGAGUUCGGAUGCUGACAGCCACACAGAUUUUGAGUAUGAACUUGUUCAAGUUGUCUCAGAUUUCACAACCGGCACUAGCAUCAUUGUCGUGCCACUUGUGAAAAUAAAAGGUUUUGUUAGCUUAUUUAUGCAGUCGAAGGAGGCAACUCCAUGUGUGAUACCUCAGGAUAACACACUAAGAUUUUCUCAUUGUGUCCCUCAUCAUUUCAUGCGUGGGACUGAAAGAGAAGGCAUUCCAGAAGGAGCUAUUGAACUUGAUCCUGCAGCGCUUCCCCUUAACUUGGAAGAGGCUUUUGCUUCUGUUGUUCUGGAAAGCACAGUAAAAGGCAAGGGGGUUGAUACCAAGUAUGCUGGUUCAUCCAGUGGAAUUAAUUCUAGCAAGGGGUCUGAGAAGGUCGGGGAGGUGCCACAUGCUACAUGUAUGAAUACAGGGCUCUUUACAAGAGCAACAAAGGAAGAGAACAAAGAGCAUCAUACUCCAUCUACUGUAGAAGUUGUGGAUGUUAAUGAGGAUUCUGAUGGCAUUGUCCAGGAUGAAUUUGAAUGUCCUGACUCAGAAUUCUAUGAAUUUACAGAAAUAAGGUCGAUUCAGAAGUUCGAACCUGGGCAGAUCUGGGCUCUCUAUAGUGAUAUGGACAAGUUCCCCAAUUACUAUGCCAUCAUAAAGAAAGUCGAUCUCAAGAAUAAUAAAGUACAAGUGAAAUGGCUUGAUCUCUGUCCUCGGGGAGAGGAGGAGAAAAGAUUAACUGGUAAAGAGGAUCGGACUCUUGCGUGUGGAAUCUUUAAGGUUUCCUCUGGCAAUGAUGGUACUACGACUUACACUGGUACAGAGUCAUUUUCUCAUCCUGUGGUUGCUAGAUCAACUGGUAGAAAAAACGAAUAUGAAAUAAUCCCUCGCUUCCGUGACAUCUGGGCCGUUUACAAGAACUGGAGGGCUGGAUGGACUGCAGAAGACUUUAAAAACUGUGAGUAUGAAUUUGUGGAGAUUGUUGGGCAGACUGAUUCGUCCAUACAAGUUCAGCCUUUAGGAAAGGUGGAUGGCUACAGGGCAGUAUUUCGAAGAGGGGCAGAUGUGAAAACAAUAAGCAAGGAUGAGUACCCAAAGUUCGCUCACCAUGUCCCUUGCUUCCAUCUGACAAAUGAAAAAGCAGGCAAGCUUCGAGGCUGUUUCGAGCUCGAUCCUUAUUCAGUGCCAGAGGUGUUUCUCUACACCAGUUAA